UGAAAAAUAGGAAAGUAUAUCAUAAUUAUUGUCACAUAAGAUAGCAGCACAGCAGGCGGGAACUUCAAGGCGCACGGAUAUCACCAAAGUUAAACAGCAUUGAGCGUGGUUAGUAGUUGGAUGGGUGACUGCUGGUGUUACAGCCGUACAAUUAUAAGUAAUCCUUUUUUUUUUUAAUUUUAAUUCAUUAUAGAGAAUUGCGUAUGACUCUAUGAAAUACUA